GACGAACGCUGGCGGUGUGCUUAACACAUGCAAGUCGAACGGUAAGGCCCUUUCGGGGGUACACGAGUGGCGAACGGGUGAGUAACACGUUAGUAACCUGCCCUCAUCUCUGGGAUAACAGUCGGAAACGGUUGCUAAUACUGGAUAUGAGCCUGCAAGGCAUCUUGUGGGUUGGAAAGAUUUUUUGGUUGGGGAUGGACUCGCGGCCUAUCAGCUUGUUGGUGAGGUAGUGGCUCACCAAGGCUUCGACGGGUAGCCGGCCUGAGAGGGCGACCGGCCACAUUGGGACUGAGAUACGGCCCAAACUCCUACGGGAGGCAGCAGUGGGGAAUAUUGCACAAUGGACGGAAGUCUGAUGCAGCAACGCCGCGUGCGGGAUGACGGCCUUCGGGUUGUAAACCGCUUUCAAUUGUGACGAAGCUUUUUGUGACGGUAGCAGUAGAAGAAGCACCGGCUAACUACGUG
rnacentral:rRNA from 1 species